UAUACACCGCCCGUCACACCAUGGGAGUCGGUUGCUCCAGAAGUGCCUGCGCCAACCCGCAAGGGAGGUAGGGUCCCAAGGAGUGGCUGGUAACUGGGGUG
rnacentral:rRNA from 1 species